AUUGAACGCUGGCGGCAGGCCUAACACAUGCAAGUCGAACGAGUGGCGGACGGGUGAGUAAUGUAUGGGAAACUGCCCGAUGGAGGGGGAUAACUACUGGAAACGGUAGCUAAUACCGCAUACCAUCGGAUGUGCCCAGAUGGGAUUAGCUAGUGGGUGGGGUAACGGCUCACCUAGGCGACGAUCCCUAGCUGGUCUGAGAGGAUGACCGGCCAAACGGGAACGGGGACACGGUCCAGACUCCUACGGGAGGCAGCAGUGGGGAACAUUGCACAAUGGGCGCAAGCCUGAUGCAGCCAUGCCGGGUGUAUGAAGAAGGCCUUCGGGUUGUAAAGUACUUUCAUCGAGGAGGCGUUACUCAAAGAAGAAGCACCGGCUAACUCCGUGCCAGCAGCCGCGGUAAUAC
rnacentral:rRNA from 1 species